rnacentral:rRNA from 1 species
UACAGAGGGGGCCAGCGUUAUUCGGAAUUAUUGGGCGUAAAGGGCGCGUAGGCGGCUUUGCGUGUCUUUCGUGAAAUCCCUCGGCUCAACUGAGGACGUGCGGAAGAAACUGCAGGGCUGGAGUCCGGGAGAGGAGGGUGGAAUUCCCAGUGUAGCGGUGAAAUGCGCAGAUAUCAGGAGGAACACCGGUGGCGAAGGCGGGUCUCUGGGCCAAUACUGACGCUGAGGAGCGAAAGCGUGGGGAGCGAACAGG